AGAACUAAGUCGGGUGAUGCUCAGGGAAUUAGAUUGGGGAAUGAGACAGUUAAAGUAAUAAAGGAGUUCUGCUAUUUGAGGAGCAAAAUAACUGAUGAUGGUAGACACUUCGUCCAGUGUUGCUGUAGCUUUUGAUACAAACUGGCAAAGGUUCAGAUUCAUCCUUGUCUUUACUUUCUUCACUUAUCGAUAUCGUCAAUUGAAGACCUCCUACGAUUCCAAUUUUUCUCGAAGUAAGUCCGUGCUCUGUUUACAUUGUAAAAAAUACUCAGCUGAAUAACUUUUGAUCUUUAACCUCCAGAAUUUUGCAGAUGGAACCAAGGGUAGAUAGUGGCCUCCGAGCUGUUUCUUUACUUAAUUCUGUGCCUUUGUUGAAUUACAUUAUCAUAGUGCAAGUUGGUAAGUUUGAUUAUUACUUUCAUCAAAUAGUGUGUUGUAUCCUAAUGCCUAAAAGUAACAGCUUUGGAUGAAUAGCAAUUUUUAGUUUUUUUUUAUUUUGCACUAUACAUGUAUAUCUUCACAACUUAAGACUUUAGUAACUUUGAACCUAUACGAGAUAUUAACAAAUGGUUUCUAGUGUAUGAUAACUCAUAAAAUUUCUUUUACCUUCCAGGUCAUACAAUUUUGAUGCAAAAGUGAACCUGUAAACAUGAUAAAAUGUGGACGUCUCUGGAGAAACCUCAGUGUGUGGGGCCCAUUAGAUACAGACGAUACCUGAUACCCAAAUGCAACGAACCUUUCAGACUUGGGAUACAUCAUUUAUGGAAACAGGAGUUCCUGUUACAUAUACAGCACUUGACACUGCUUGUGAGAAAACAUUAUUAAUCAGCACUGAUAGUCAACUUGGUCCCUAGCAUCCACUAGUGGGCGCCUCCACCUCCAUAGCAGCCAGUAGACAGUUGGACCCUAAAAUAUUUAUAUUAGGGUUUCACAAAACUUUGAAAAAAAUAUUUGGUCAUACAAUUUUGAUGCGAAAUGGAACCUGAAAACCUGCUAAAAUGUGGAUACCAGUGGAUAAAGCUCAAUGUGUGUGGCCUGGUAUAUACAGAUGAUAUCAGAUACCGAAGUGCAAUGAUCCUUUCGGACUUGGAAUACAUCAUUUAUGGAAACAGUGCUCACAAGACAUUUACAGUGGGGUGUGCAGUUGAGAACAGUUCUCCAUCUACCCCUCAGUGCUCACCAGAAUUAUCCAAAGUGGAGCACUGUGCCAAUUCCAAGAAGCAGGCCAAAGAUGUCCUGGUAAGCAGCACAUUUUCAAUGCUGCGAGACAAACAAACAGCAAUGAAUGGGAGCAAUGAGGAUGACAAGUUGGGCGAAUAUGUUGCAGCUGAGCUGAUAACAACUAAAAAUAGAAAAUUAAAUGCAGAGGCAAAGUGAAUGUUAUCAUGAAUGCCAUCAUGGGUGCAAUUCAGAAAGUUACUGAUUGUUAAUUUUUAAAUAAAAGAUUGAAAAUUAAAAA